rnacentral:rRNA from 1 species
AUGAUGCUUGGUGCUUGCACUGGGUGGAUUAGUGGCGAACGGGUGAGUAAUACGUGAGUAACCUGCCCCUGUCUUUGGGAUAAGCCUGGGAAACUGGGUCUAAUACUGGAUAUUCUGCUUGAACCGCAUGGUUUUGUUGGAAAGAUUUUUUGGAUGGGGAUGGGCUCACGGCCUAUCAGCUUGUUGGUGGGGUGAUGGCCUACCAAGGCGUCGACGGGUAGCCGGCCUGAGAGGGUGACCGGCCACAUUGGGACUGAGAUACGGCCCAGACUCC